AUUGAACGCUAGCGGGAUGCCUUACACAUGCAAGUCGAACGGCAGCACGGACUUCGGUCUGGUGGCGAGUGGCGAACGGGUGAGUAACGUAUCGGAACGUGCCCAGUAGCGGGGGAUAACUACUUGAAAGAGUAGCUAAUACCGCAUACGCCCUACGGGGGAAAGGGGGGGAUCGCAAGACCUCUCACUAUUGGUGCGGCCGAUAUCGGAUUAGCUAGUUGGUGGGGUAAAGGCCCACCAAGGCGACGAUCCGUAGCUGGUUUGAGAGGACGACCAGCCACACUGGGACUGAGACACGGCCCAGACUCCUACGGGAGGCAGCAGUGGGGAAUUUUGGACAAUGGGGGCAACCCUGCUCCAGCCAUCCCGCGUGUGCGAUGAAGGCCUUCGGGUUGUAAAGCACUUUUGGCAGGAAAGAAAUCGCACGGGCUAAUACCUCGUGUGGAUGACGGUACCAGCAGAAUAAGCACCGGCUAACUACGUGCCAGCAGCCGCAGUAA
rnacentral:rRNA from 1 species